AGCUCCAAUAGCGUAUAUUAAAGUUGUUGCAGUUAAAAGCUCGUAGUUGGAUUUUUUGGCGAGAGCGCGGUCCGCCGUUCAUUCGGUGCGCACCAUUGUCUCGUCGCCAAUUAUUAUGGUUUAAACGUGCCGGUAUUAGGUUAUCGGCGUGUGGAUGCCAUUCGUUUACUGUGAGAAAAGCAGAAGGUUCAAACUAGGCUUACGCCGUUGAAUGUUUCAGCAUGGAAUAAUAAGAUAGGACUUUGGUGGUCUAUUUUGUUGGUUUGCACACCAAGGUAAUGAUUAAUAGGGAUAGUUGGGGGUAUUCGUAUUCAAUUGUCAGAGGUGAAAUUCUUGGAUUUAUGGAAGACGAACUACUGCGAAAGCAUUUACCAAGG
rnacentral:rRNA from 1 species